rnacentral:rRNA from 1 species
CCUGUGAGGGUUGCUGGAGGUAUCAGAAGUGCGAAUGCUGACAUAAGUAACGAUAAAGCGGGUGAAAAGCCCGCUCGCCGGAAGACCAAGGGUUCCUGUCCAACGUUAAUCGGGGCAGGGUGAGUCGACCCCUAAGGCGAGGCCGAAAGGCGUAGUCGAUGGGAAACAGGUUAAUAUUCCUGUACUUGGUGUUACUGCGAAGGGGGGACGGAGAAGGCUAUGUUAGCCGGGCGACGGUUGUCCCGGUUUAAGCAUGUAGGCUGGUUAUCCAGGCAAAUCCGGAUAAUCAAGGCUGAGGUGUGAUGACGAGGCACUACGGUGCUGAAGUAACAAAUGCCCUGCUUCCAGGAAAAGCCUCUAAGCAUCAGGUAACANAAAUCGUACCCCAAACCGACACAGGUGGUCAGGUAGAGAAUACCAAGGCGCUUGAGAGAACUCGGGUGAAGGAACUAGGCAAAAUGGUGCCGUAACUUCGGGAGAAGGCACGCUGGUGUGUAGGUGAAGUCCCUGCGGAUGGAGCUGAGACCAGUCGAAGAUACCAGCUGGCUGCAACUGUUUAUUAAAAACACAGCACUGUGCAAACACGAAAGUGGACGUAUACGGUGUGACGCCUGCCCGGUGCCGGAAGGUUAAUUGAUGGGGUUAUCCGUAAGGAGAAGCUCUUGAUCGAAGCCCCGGUAAACGGCGGCCGUAACUAUAACGGUCCUAAGGUAGCGAAAUUCCUUGUCGGGUAAGUUCCGACCUGCACGAAUGGCGUAAUGAUGGCCAGGCUGUCUCCACCCGAGACUCAGUGAAAUUGAACUCGCUGUGAAGAUGCAGUGUACCCGCGGCAAGACGGAAAGACCCCGUGAACCUUUACUAUAGCUUGACACUGAACAUUGAGCCUUGAUGUGUAGGAUAGGUGGGAGGCUUUGAAGCGUGGACGCCAGUCUGCGUGGAGCCAACCUUGAAAUACCACCCUUUAAUGUUUGAUGUUCUAACGUUGGCCCCUNAUCGGGGUUGCGGACAGUGUCUGGUGGGUAGUUUGACUGGGGCGGUCUCCUCCCAAAGCGUAACGGAGGAGCACGAAGGUUAGCUAAUCCUGGUCGGACAUCAGGAGGUUAGUGCAAUGGCAUAAGCUAGCUUGACUGCGAGCGUGACGGCGCGAGCAGGUGCGAAAGCAGGUCAUAGUGAUCCGGUGGUUCUGAAUGGAAGGGCCAUCGCUCAACGGAUAAAAGGUACUCCGGGGAUAACAGGCUGAUACCGCCCAAGAGUUCAUAUCGACGGCGGUGUUUGGCACCUCGAUGUCGGCUCAUCACAUCCUGGGGCUGAAGUAGGUCCCAAGGGUAUGGCUGUUCGCCAUUUAAAGUGGUACGCGAGCUGGGUUUAGAACGUCGUGAGACAGUUCGGUCCCUAUCUGCCGUGGGCGCUGGAGAAUUGAGGGGGGCUGCUCCUAGUACGAGAGGACCGGAGUGGACGCAUCACUGGUGUUCGGGUUGUCAUGCCAAUGGCACUGCCCGGUAGCUAAAUGCGGAAGAGAUAAGUGCUGAAAGCAUCUAAGCACGAAACUUGCCCCGAGAUGAGUUCUCCCUGAGACUUUAAGUCUCCUGAAGGAACGUUNGACGUUGAUAGGCCGGGUGUGUAAGCGCAGCGAUGCGUUGAGCUAACCGGUACUAAUGAACCGUGAGGCUUAACCUU